AGACGGAGGGGGCUAGCGUUGUUCGGAAUCACUGGGCGUAAAGCGCGCGUAGGCGGCCGUUCAAGUUGGGCGUGAAAGCCCGGGGCUCAACCCCGGAGGUGCGCACAAUACUGAGUGGCUCGAGGCCGGGAGAGGAGAGUGGAAUUCCCAGUGUAGAGGUGAAAUUCGUAGAUCUUGGGAAGAACACCGGCGGCGAAGGCGGCUCUCUGGUCCGGUUCUGACGCUGAGGCGCGAAAGCGUGGGGAGCAAACAGGAUUAGAAACCCGGGUAGUCC
rnacentral:rRNA from 1 species